rnacentral:tRNA from 8 species
UACCAAUUGAACUACAAUCCC